CCUACGGGAGACAGCAGUGGGGAAUAUUGCACAAUGGGGGAAACCCUGAUCCAGCGACGCCGCGUGAGCGAUGAAGUAUUUCGGUAUGUAAAGCUCUAUCAGCAGGGAAGAAGAUGACGGUACCUGACUAAGCAGCCCCGGCUAACGACGUGCCAGCAGCCGCGGUAAUACGUAGGGGGCAAGCGUUAUCCGGAUUUACUGGGUGUAAAGGGAGCGUAGACGGCGAUGCAAGCCAGAUGGGAAAGCCCGGGGCUCAACCCCGGGAGUGCAUUUGAAACUGUGUGGCUGGAGUGUCGGAGAGGCAGGCGGAAUUCCUAGUGUAGCGGUGAAAUGCGUAGAUAUUAGGAGGAACACCAGUGGCGAAGGCGGCCUGCUGGACGAUGACUGACGUUGAGGCUCGAAAGCGUGGGGAGCAAACAGGAUUAGAUACCCCUGUAGUC
rnacentral:rRNA from 1 species